rnacentral:tRNA from 1 species
GCUCUAAGUCAUACGAGCCUCAUUGGCGGGAUUUCGCCGUCUUCGUUUCUCUUUCUUCGCGGACGAACACGCGCCUGGGGUGCGCGCAGUUGGUCGGCUGGCUUGUGCCGCCGAUGGAUUGCCGUGACCUCUCGUGCUGAGGGCUUGUAGCUCAGUUGGUUAGAGCGCGCGCUUGAUAAGCGUGAGGUCGGAAGUUCAAGUCUUCCCAGGCCCACCACACUCAUCGAGCGUCGCAUUCGUCUUCUGGUUACGGGGCCAUAGCUCAGCUGGGAGAGCGCGUGCUUUGCAAGCAUGAGGUCGUCGGUUCGAUCCCGUCUGGCUCCACCAGAUGGACGAUCGCCGAUUGGUUCCUAAGACUCGUGUUUGUGUCUCGCUGCUGUCAUCCGGACAGCGCGAUGGACAUCGUCCGCAUCUUGUAUUCGCCGGCCUGUGCGCUGCACGGCCUGGCGGGUUAUCUGACAUCGUAUAGAGGAGAUCGAUCCGAGUUCGGAUCUGCGGAGCAAUCUGCGGAGGCCGUUCGCUUAUCUCCGGAGCGUUUUCGGCGCCUGAGCAUCGCAAGAUGGUUAGGUUGUAAAACGCUUCAUGUUGACGACGCUUGACCGCAUCGUCAUCGGUUCGAUCUUACGAAGCAAUAACUGGUCUUUCUAAUCAGUGUCCGUUUGCGAGACGCGUCCUUUAAGGAUGGCUCGCGAAUACAUUCUGCCGAGUGUGUGGACAUUGAUAAUGAGAGCAAUCAAGUGCCUUAAGGGUGUUCGACGGAUGCCUUGGCGCUGAGAGGCGAUGAAGG